AGCCGCCAUUUUGGAGAUGAGAAAGUCAGGGUCACAGAAGUGAAGUGACUUGUCCAAGACUCCACAGCUGGGCAGCAGGUUCAAGCACAAGUCCAGUCCCAAGAUACUGCUGUGUCUUAACAGUUUGUCAGAGGAAAGGCAAAACUACUGAAAGCAUCAGUUCAACUCAGCACACCGGCUAUGCUACAUAACCUACUGUGUGUCAGGCGCUGUGAGACUGGGCUGGGACUAGAUAGAUCAGAAUAAACAACCUGAACCACAGCAAAGCCUCAUGAAAUACCUUAAAAACAAAUGAUAUCAUAAAGACUUUUUUUUUUUUUUAACUUUAGAACCAAAUUUUUAGAGCUGUUCCUUUGAAAACCAGG